rnacentral:rRNA from 1 species
ACGUAGGGACCAAGCGUUGUUCGGAUUUACUGGGCGUAAAGGGCGCGUAGGCGGCGCUGUAAGUCACUUGUGAAAUCUCCGGGCUUAACUCGGAACGGCCAAGUGAUACUGCAGUGCUAGAGUGCAGAAGGGGCAAUCGGAAUUCUUGGUGUAGCGGUGAAAUGCGUAGAUAUCAAGAGGAACACCUGAGGUGAAGACGGGUUGCUGGGCUGACACUGACGCUGAGGCGCGAAAGCCAGGGGAGCAAACGGGAUUAGAUACCCCGGUAGUCCUGGCCCUAAACGAUGAAUACUUGGUGUCUGGAGACUUAAUGCUCCGGGUGCCGUCGCUAACGUUUUUAGUAUUCCGCCUGGGGAGUACGCUCGCAAGAGUG